UACGUAGGGUGCAAGCGUUGUCCGGAAUUAUUGGGCGUAAAGAGCUCGUAGGCGGUCUGUCGCGUCGGAUGUGAAAACCCAGGGCUCAACCCUGGGCCUGCAUUCGAUACGGGCAGACUAGAGUUCGGUAGGGGAGACUGGAAUUCCUGGUGUAGCGGUGAAAUGCGCAGAUAUCGGAAGGAACACCUGUGGCGAAAGCGGCUCACUGGACCAUAACUGACGCUGAGGCGCGAAAGCGCGGGGAGCGAACGGG
rnacentral:rRNA from 1 species